CUUUUUUCGUUUCAGCUAAUGCUCAGUUCUCCAUCAGUCUGGGCUUUAAUCAGCUCUCCAACGCGACAGAUGGUUUAUAACUUCAUUUAUUCAUCUUAAGUGCUUUAGCGGAAGCUUCAUGGAGAGCCUUCGAGGAAGAGAAAACACGGCCUAAUAAAGGCGUCCAGGGGAUUGAUGUUUCAAAUAUAAACUUACACUAGUGUUGUAUACGCUAAUAUAAAAACUAAUAUUUGAUAUAUUUGUUAAAUCUUACCGUGGUUGUAGCUGUGUUGGCUAACUAACGUUACUCAUAAAGCUGGCCUGAGCCACAUGAGGAGACAGGAAAGUUACUCUAACUAUGGGCUAGUAACUAGUUAGUCUAUUACUGACUGUUUAGUGAUGGUUUACAUCGAUUCAGCGGGGAUUAUCCCACCAAAAUAUCUCUAGUUAUCUCCAAACAACCACCACGUCGCUGCAUAAUAACAGACAGAGGUCUGACUAGUUAGCUAGCCACCGUUACUUACAAUAAGAAGCUCAUUUCCGUUAACUUUGCUUCGAGCGAAGCUUCCAGACAGCGUGAAGUCGAGGAUUCCCAACAGAAAUUCUUCACCCAAGUCUUGUUUAAGGAUCAAACCGAUGUAAACAACGUAGUCCCAAAGUUUCAAAACUUUAAUCUAAGCGAACAUGAAACCGCGCUGGAACAGGAAGUGUUUACAACCGCCGCAGAGAAAAAGGAAACAGCAAAGACGACAGAGUCCGAUGUUGUUGCCAAAAUCGCACAGUAUGAGCUGCUAGUGCGAGUGCAGUUAGAGCUGUUAGUGGCGAUGCAGUUAGAGCUGCUAGUGCGAUUAGAGCUGCGAGUGCAGUUAGAGC
ensembl:lncRNA